GACAGAGGCCCCGAGCGUUAAUCGGAAUCACUGGGCUUAAAGGGUGCGUAGGCUGGUCCGAAAGUGCUUUGUGAAAUCCCAUGGCUCAACCAUGGAACAGCGGGGCAUACUACGGAUCUCGAGGAAGGUAGGGGCCGCCAGAACAGUAGGUGGAGCGGUGAAAUGCGUAGAUAUCUACUGGAAUGCCGAUGGUGAAGACGGGCGGCUGGGCCUUUCCUGACGCUGAGGCACGAAAGCGUGGGGAGCAAACAGG
rnacentral:rRNA from 1 species